CCACUGAUAAAUUUAAAGGCCGCAGUAAUUUGACUGUGCAAAGGUAGCAUAAUCAUUAGUUUUUUAAUUAAAAGCUUGUAUGAAUGGUUGGACGAGAUAAAAUCUGUCUCUAUUUAAUAAUUAGAAUUUAAUUUUUAAGUUAAAAAGCUUAAAUUAAUAUAAAAGACGAGAAGACCCUAUAGAUCUUAAUAUAGAAUUUUAAAAUUUUAUUUAAGAUUUUUUUAUUAAUUUUAUUAUUUUAUAUUUUAUUGGGGUAAUAAAAAGAUUAAAUUAAUUCUUUUUCAUAUUAUACAAUAAUAAUUGAUUAUUUGAUCCAUUAAUAGUGAUUAUAAGAUUAAGUUACCUUAGGGAUAACAGCGUAAUUUUUUUAGAGAGUUCAUAUCGAUAAAAAAGUUUGCGACCUCGAUGUUGGAUUAAAAAUUAUUUCGGGUGUAGAAGUUCGAAGUUUUGGUCUGUUCGACCAUUAAAUUUUUACAUGAUCUGAGUUCAGACCGGUGUAAGCCAGGUCGGUUUUUAUCUUUAUUAGAUUUAUAUAUUUUAGUACGAAAGGACCAAAUAUUUGAUAUAUUAAUAUUUAUAUUUUGAUUAA
rnacentral:rRNA from 1 species